AACUCUGGAACUGCCAUCAAAACUUUUCAGCUAGAGUAUGAUAGAGGAAAGCAGAAUUUCUAGUGUAGAGGUGAAAUUCGUAGAUAUUAGAAAGAAUACCAAUUGCGAAGGCAGCUUUCUGGAUCAUUACUGACACUGAGGAACGAAAGCAUGGGUAGCGAAGAGGAUUAGAUACCCUCGUAGUCCAUGCCGUAAACGAUGUGUGUUAGACGUUGGAAAUUUAUUUUCAGUGUCGCAGCGAAAGCGAUAAACACACCGCCUGGGGAGUACGACCGCAAGGUUAAAACUCAAAUGAAUUGACGGGGACCCGCACAAGUAGUGGAGCAUGUGGUUUAAUUCGAAGAUACGCGCAGAACCUUACCAACACUUGACAUGUUCGUCGCGACUCUAAGAGAUUAGAGUUUUCGGUUCGGCCGGACGAAACACAGGUGCUGCAUGGCUGUCGUCAGCUCGUGUCGUGAGAUGUUGGGUUAAGUCCCGCAACGAGCGCAACCCUCACUUUUAGUUGCCAUCAUUUAGUUGGGCACUCUGAAAGAACUGCCAGUGAUAAGCUGGAGGAAGGUGGGGAUGACGUCAAGUCCUCAUGGCCCUUACGUGUUGGGCUACACACGUGCUACAAUGGCAUCUACAACAGGAAGCAAAACGGCAACGUUAAGCAAAUCCCGAAAAGAUGCCUCAGUUCGGAUUGCACUCUGCAACUCGAGUGCAUGAAGCUGGAAUUACUAGUAAUCGUGGAUCAGCGUGCCACGGUGAAUGCGUUCCCGGGUCUUGUACACACCGCCCGUCACACCAUGGGAGUUGGUUCUACCUUAAGGCAAGGUUUUAAACCCUUGACCACGGUAUAGUCAGCGACUGGGGUGAAGUCGUAACAAGGUAACC
rnacentral:rRNA from 1 species